CCUGUUUUAGUCCAGUGGUUGGAACAACAGACUAGAAAUCUGUUAUUCGUGUAGUGCAAGCUCGAAACCUGCCAACAACA